rfam:Habropoda laboriosa contig13363, whole genome shotgun sequence.
GGCGCCGUGGCUUAGCUGGUUAAAGCGCCUGUCUAGUAAACAGGAGAUCGGGGGUUCGAAUCCCCCCGGGGCCU